CACGGGGGUUGCGAGCGUUGUCCGGAUUUACUGGGCGUAAAGGGAGCGUAGGCGGACUUUUAAGUGAGAUGUGAAAUACCCGGGCUCAACUUGGGUGCUGCAUUUCAAACUGGAAGUCUAGAGUGCAGGAGAGGAGAAUGGAAUUCCUAGUGUAGCGGUGAAAUGCGUAGAGAUUAGGAAGAACACCAGUGGCGAAGGCGAUUCUCUGGACUGUAACUGACGCUGAGGCUCGAAAGCGUGGGGAGCAAACAGG
rnacentral:rRNA from 1 species